AGUCGAGCGGCAGCACGGGUACUUGUACCUGGUGGCGAGCGGCGGACGGGUGAGUAAUGCCUAGGAAUCUGCCUGGUAGUGGGGGAUAACGCUCGGAAACGGACGCUAAUACCGCAUACGUCCUACGGGAGAAAGCAGGGGACCUUCGGGCCUUGCGCUAUCAGAUGAGCCUAGGUCGGAUUAGCUAGUUGGUGAGGUAAUGGCUCACCAAGGCGACGAUCCGUAACUGGUCUGAGAGGAUGAUCAGUCACACUGGAACUGAGACACGGUCCAGACUCCUACGGGAGGCAGCAGUGGGGAAUAUUGGACAAUGGGCGAAAGCCUGAUCCAGCCAUGCCGCGUGUGUGAAGAAGGUCUUCGGAUUGUAAAGCACUUUAAGUUGGGAGGAAGGGCAUUAACCUAAUACGUUGGUGUCUUGACGUUACCGACAGAAUAAGCACCGGCUAACUCUGUGCCAGCAGCCGCGGUAAUACAGAGGGUGCAAGCGU
rnacentral:rRNA from 1 species